CCUUCCCUCCAAAAGCACCCUGCUGGAACUGCAGGAGCCGCACCUCGCUGGUCCGGCUCACGUGGCUGUGUAAGCACGGGUACACCAGGGAAGGAGAGCAAAGGCACGGGGUUGAAGACGAGACAGCGAGGGGCCUCUUUCUUAAUGUCCAGUGUCUUCUGUCUCAAGGCCCCGUGUCACAUGA
ensembl:snoRNA small nucleolar RNA, H/ACA box 81